ACUGCUUCCCUUCAUGUGAGUCUGUGGGGAAGAAUGUCACAGAAUACUAACAGAAAACAAAAGAGGGCAGCCUUUGAUAACCCGCACGCACGGUUGGGCGGACAGAGUCCUUGGGUUUUCCUCUGAGCUAAAGGAUAAGGGGGAUGCUCCCAGGGUGUUUCUCAGCCCGGGCACAGUGUAAACCUUGGUUUCCUGAGCCAGUCUUGUGGCCUUUAGAGCAACUGAAGCCAGGAAGCUCAGUGAUGCUAUUUUGGCAACCCAGAGAAGAACCUGAAGGUGGAAAAGCUGGUGUAAGGUUACCUAUUUAUAUACAAAUCUAAGGCAGAUGGGAAUUCCAGUGCAUCAAGCAACAAAUGGUACAAUAACCAGCUCAAAUCACUCAGUACCUCAUUCCCAGUGUCUUUUGUGGUAUACAGAUCAGCAUCCUAAUAGCACCUCUAUCUGGGAAGAGGCCCAAGGGAUCCAUCUGCCUCCGCCUCCUCGACUGCUAGGACUACAAGUGCAUACCACCACAACUGACUUUUUCAUGUGGGUUGAUCAAAUUUAGGUCCUCAUGCUUGCAAGCUGAGAUGUCUUCUGCACCCAGCUUCUAAUCUCUUCACUACUAGGUAAGAACACCAAGUUCCAAGAAAAGUCUGUACUCAGGAAUCAUGUUGAUAUUCACUGAUGUGCCUACAAUUUGAAUCAAACUGGCAACAAGAUAGAGUGGCCAACUCAGCCAUGCCAAGCAGAGUGGGAACACAUCCAAUGGGCUCAGCGUCCUAACACAGCAGAAUACCGGUCCAUUCUCAGUCAGAAGUCAGUGUGUUGAGCCAGCCUCCAACAUUUCUCUGCGAAUGCCUCUUCUGAAAAACAACUUUCUAAGUCUUGGAUUGUCACACACUAAACAGGUCUGUGCCACAGUGGAAACAAAUAAAACUCGGGUCUGACACCAGAUCAGGAAAGUUUUACUUUCCAAUAUGGACCUUUCUGCAGAUUUAUUUUUCAUGAAUUACCUUCUCAACACAGCACCUCCACGCUGAUGGGAAAGUUCCAGGGGGAUGCUUUCCCUUUAAAGGGAGAUCCAGUCCUCUCCGUUGGAGCUGAUGUCUACUCGAGGAAGAAUCAAGACAAAAAAAGAUAGAUGUACACGUUGGCUCCUGGAGAGGCAUAAACUAGGCCUCCUAUCUGACCCAGCUGAUCCCAAUUCUUUGCAGCACCCUAUCUCCUUCUGGUAAGAUGCUGCCAGAAAGUGCACUGAUGUGAGUCCCUAGGAGUGCUGUGGUUCUAGGAACAGACACAGGUCGCUUGAGAUGGUCUGGUAAGGAGAAGAAUGCAGGGAGGCUGCCCCCAUGUGAAGCUCCUUUCUUCUGAUUUUUUUCAUGGCCUUGAUAUAAGCAGCUAUGUUGAGAAGCAUGAUAGGGAGGAAAUACAUCACAAAGCAAAGCUUGUAAGUUCCUCUUGGUCAGUUUCCAGUGAGGCUUCCCAACAAGAGAGCCUCACUUUGUGUCUUGUUUGUUAAUCUCAUACCCUGGAGUAUAGUAGGGACUUCCAGGUAAUUAAAAGUUCUGCUCUGAUGCAAGGUUUUGCUGAAAUGACCCUGAUAUAGUUGUCUCGUGUGAGGCUAUGCCAGUGUCUGGCAAAUACAGAAGUCGAUGCUCACAGCCAUCUAUAGGAUGGAACACAGGGCCCCCAAUGGAGGAGCUAGAGAAAGCACCCAAGGAGCUGAAGGGGUCUGCAACCCUAUAGGUGGAACAAUAAUAUGAACUAAACAGUACCCCGGAGCUCGUGUCUCUAGCUGCAUAUGUAGCAGAAGAUGGCCUAGUGAUGUGUCCUGGAAAGCUGUUUCCUUCUAUCUGUUGUAUGAGCUGGAUUUUACAGAGGAAAAAAAGAAAAGAAAGGAAAAGAAAAGAAAAGAAAAGAAAAGAAAAGAAAAGAAAAAGUCUUUUUAAAAAAAGGAUACACAAACAUAGUAUCUUUUGAGGACUCAGAGAGGAAUUACCUAACACACCUGGUUUGCAUCCACCAGCCAUGUCAACAGAAGAGGGGAACACAAGUUUCUUCAAAAAAGAAUAAACAAACAAACAACUGGGUUGGAGCAAAUCCCCAUCCCUACUCAGCUUCAGGAUCCUGUGACUUGACAGCCCAAUUUUCAGAAAACAUUCUUUCAAUUAACCCUGCAGUGGCUAGGCGCUCAGGGCUGCUGCAGAAUGUAGCUUUGGUAGCCUGCAUGGACGGCUACCUCCUCUGGACUGUCAGGAGCAGCUUUAUCCUGGCAGCCCUGGGAGGACUUAAAACACAGAGGUACAGGAAAAUCAGUACUUUGAAGGGAGGGUGAAGUUCCUUAGUCCUAGGACCCUGCUUCCCCCGGGAGGGUCUCACAACGUGACUGACUUUCCUUGGUCUAAAACAUAUGAGCCGAUGCUUCUAAGCUUUCAUCUGAAGCUUGCUAUGCAGAAUUUGUGUCCACAGAGAUCUACUUCCUCCUGCCUCUCAGCUUGACUGCAACUUUCUAUUUAGUCAAAUCUCACCCUGAACUUCUGAUCUCCCUGCUUCUACCUAACUAGCGCUGGGCUUAUAGGCAUGCAGUACCACACCCUGGGUUUGUUAUGGAUGGAAUCGAGGGCUCUGUGCAUGCUAAGCAAACAUUCUACCAAAUAAACUGUGUCCCACCCCCCCACAGAACAAAAUUUUAAUAGGAAUUAAUACUAUAGAUUAACAAUGGUGGCCAUUUCAACUUUCAAUUUAACAAAUAAAUGUUUACUCAACACAUUUAAAACAAUUCCAAUGCCUAUCUUGAUAGCUGGCAUUAGUAAUUCUUUUCAGAAGGGAAGCAGGAAGCUUCUAGUGAAUACUCCAUUCUUCUUAUCCCCUAUGGGCACAGGUUUCCAAAAGCAAGACUGCCAAUGCUUGUAAUAUUUGGCAAGUAAAACAAAAGAUAGCAAAUUGAACUGAAUUUCAGAUGAAGAGAGAAAAAAAUGAUACUAACUCAGACACAGAGACUUCAAGAGUUUCAAAAUGCUCUCAGAACACCAAGGCUUUACUGACCAUCCACUGAGUUAAUCAGGGUUAUGCACGUCCACUUGCAAGCUGAAUGGUCCUUAGAAUCUGGACAUCCAAGGGAUAGAAGCAUGGCUCUGCUCUCCAUGUCACACAAGAGGCUCUUCAGUCUGGGAAUGAUUAAACUCUCAAGUGUCCAAUUGCAGCUUGAGUUGAUUUGAAAUAAUCUUAGAAUUCUAUUCCCUGGAUAUGCUUUCAGAUAGACAGACAGAUGCAGUGUCUCUCCGUAGCCUGGCUUCAUCGUGUAGCCAAGACUAAUCUUGAGCUUUUGAUUCUUUUGCUUCUACCUUCCCAGUGCUGAGACUAUAAGCAUGUGCCUGUACCUGUACCUGUUUUAUGGGGUUCUGGGGACGGAACCCAGGGCUUUCUGGAUACUAGACAAAACUGUUCCAGUCAGACAUGUCCCCAGCCCCGAUAUUUAUAAAGUUCUAAGGGAGAGCUAGUUACUAGGCAGAAAAGAAAUGGUCACUCAGAAGAUUACCAGGUACUAGGGAAUCAGAUGACUUUGAAGAAGGAGCCUGGGGCAAAGACAAGCAAUUCCUCAGUAGGAAAAUGUCCUUAGAACACAAGCACGAAUCACAUGAGAAGGAAAUGGUAUUUUCUUUCUCAACAGCGAUGAAACAUACCAGCUACUUCCUCUGUAAUUGCAUAGAGUUUCCUGCUGGGUGUAAAUUCUGUGGCUCCUCUUAUUUACCACACUGGGAUAUUUGAAAUUCUGUUUCAUUUUUCUUCCUAACAUUACUGCCACUGGUUUUACUUAAGAUGGAUGACAACCUCACAGAAUCUAGGCCUAGACCACUGAGACCAAGAGAGGAUGCUAUCUAGAUCUCUGAUAAUCACGGUCUCCCUCAAGCUGUGGACUCAGCAUUAAUGCUGGGCAUAUCUGCCCACCAGCUCUUUCUCUCCAAGUGCCUAGGGGAAUUCUGCUAAUUAUGACAAUGGCCCCAAUCUGCUUUCAUGUGUAUUAUUUAAUUACAUCAAAAUACUUAUAACUUAAUUAGAAUAAUUGUAGUUUCUAACAGAAGAUAUUUUGAUUGCAUAUCUUGACAUGUAAAAAUUCUCGUGUCAUAAAAGAAAAUAAAAACAACUCUGUCUCUCCCUCUCUUUCUGCCUCCCUCCCUACACUUCGUCCUUUCUUUCCCCCCUUCCUUCCCUUCUAUUCUCCUCUCCUCCUUCUAAACAGGAGUGACCAUUCCCUCUUCUCAGCCUGGUGGAUAAGCCGGGCAAUUCUCUCUGGUAAACUCAUCACACAGCUCAUUGUGUUGGUCAUUGUGUUCUCCUUUUAGUUUCAUUUAGUCAUUCAUGAUUUUUCUAGGAAAAACUAUUUCUCUUUCUGUAUAGUUAAUAAAUUCCUAGUGAAGAUUUCAUAAACAGUAGUAGAUGAUAACAGCCACCCCUUGUUCAGCCCGGUAUGUAAAGGUC
rnacentral:lncRNA from 1 species